rnacentral:rRNA from 1 species
GACGAACGCUGGCGGCGUGCCUAAUACAUGCAAGUUGAGCGCUGAAGGUUGGUACUUGUACCAACUGGAUGAGCAGCGAACGGGUGAGUAACGCGUGGGGAAUCUGCCUUUGAGCGGGGGACAACAUUUGGAAACGAAUGCUAAUACCGCAUAAAAACUUUAAACACAAGUUUUAAGUUUGAAAGAUGCAAUUGCAUCACUCAAAGAUGAUCCCGCGUUGUAUUAGCUAGUUGGUGAGGUAAAGGCCCACCAAGGCGAUGAUACAUAGCCGACCUGAGAGGGUGAUCGGCCACAUUGGGACUGAGACACGGCCCAAACUCCUACGGGAGGCAGCAGUAGGGAAUCUUCGGCAAUGGACGAAAGUCUGACCGAGCAACGCCGCGUGAGUGAAGAAGGGUUUCGGAUCGUAAAACUCUGUUGGUAGAGAAGAACGUUGGUGAGAGUGGAAAGCUCAUCAAGUGACGGUAACUACCCAGAAAGGGACGGCUAACUACGUG